ACUGCUUAUACAUCAUGCUGGUUC
rnacentral:siRNA from 1 species